CUCUGAUGGCUGAUUGACAGGUGGUUAGUUUGGUUAGUCUGAUUAGCUGAGCUUGUUGGCGUUGGGAGAAUAUUGGCGUCUGUCUACCCUUGUGUGUGGUGUUAAACAAUGGACUAUUGUGGGAUAAACUGGUACUUUUGCUUGGAUUUUUCGCCACACAACGUCAAAGAAACCGUUUCCCAAGUGAGGAAGAAAAAUGGAUAUUGUCACGCAGGGUGAAGUUCAGCCAGAACUUGUUUGUGUACGCUGCACGUGUCGACUUCGUUGAUAACAGCAACAGGGAGAGAGAAGAUAAGAAGCAAAGGAAACUUGUUGGAUGACCUUGAUGUCCUCGAUGAGUACCCGUGAAGCCUUUAUUUUGAUAGGACAGCAGAAGACAUGAAAGGGUAGAGAGAGGGGGAAUGACAUGCAGCAAAGGGCCACAGGUCGGAGUCAAACCCGGGCCCGCUGCAUCGAGGAGUAAACCUCUAUAUGUGGGCGCCCGCUCUACCAACUGAGCUAUCCGACCACCUGGCACUCUGACUUCUUCUUCUCUAACACUGAGUGAAAGGCAUGAUGAGGCCACCCUGCGCGCCCUCACCAACAUACUCAAGGACAGUUCAUCCCCCCUGCAUGGUUUCCUGCCUGCAGCCUUAACACGACUUGCUCACUUCAUCAGCGUAGGAAAUUUGUAGUGCCCACAAGUACAACCAAAAGUCAUGAACUUUCCUGCUUAUGAAACACCUGUUUAUUUUAGGGUUCAUGCUCUUAACUAAAUGCCUAUGAUGUUGAUUGCUCUUGGACGGAUUUCAGGAUUCAAUGUUCAAAAACUGUUUUUAUGCUGCUGAACACUGCCUUGUCAAAUGU